CCGCCGGGAGCCGAGGGACCGGAGGCCGCCGGCGCCGGGACCGCAGCGCCCCCGCCUCCGAACCAGGUGCCGCGCUCCCCACCGAAGCCCCACGCCCGCCUCCUCCAGCUGGGCGCCAAACGUCGCCACCCCUGCAUCCCCCAGAGAAAAGCUUCCAGCCGGCCCGGGGCUAGGCGUAACGCAGGGCCGAGGCGACGAGCAGAGCCAGGACGCGGGCCUCAGUUUACCCGCGGUGUCCAGAACCAUGCUUUUGGAAGGUAGGGGCGCCCCUCUCUGCUCCCAGAGCUGCUUUCGCUCCGCAGACCCUCCACCGGAUCUCCGUUGCCGUCCGAGGGCUCGUCCCCAAGGGCCACCUCCGAUCUCAUCUUCUCCCCAACACCGCUGCCUCCGCCUCCACUCCCACCCCCUUCGCCUCCGAGACCUCGGCGUAUCAAUCUCUAACCCUCAACAGCAGGGCCCAGGGGGCACUCGAAUCGCCACAGCCUGUCUGUCCCUUCGCGGCCCAGGGCCGUGAGUGGAAGUGGCCUCUUUAAGAAGACAUCCUUCACUGGUACCCACCGCCUCAUCUUCAGUAUAGUAAAAAUCGAAGCAAAUGUAAAUCGGCAAGAUGGCUGCCAGCAACUCUAGGCUCCAUCCUCACAGCCCAAGUCCUCAUUUCUUUCAGCUGUCCCAGAAAAAGCCAAGGUUGCAUCAAGUUGGCUCUGAGUGGGUCACAUAUCAUUGUUUGGACCUGAAUCCUAUGCCCGACCCUGGAGAUGAUCCCAUCCAAACCACAGUGAUGAAGAGUGAGGAAGGGUGACGUCAGAGCACUGUUUGCAAUUAGAAGGUGAAUGGACCCAGAGCUGUGUGCCAAGCACACAGAAAGUUCAUGAAAAGUAUCGGCCAUUGUUGAGGACCUUCAUCAUGUUUCAGGGGUGCCCAACACCUUUUGAGCAUUCUUCUGUGUUUGAGGAACUUUCCGUGUCACGAAUCCUGCACCCUGUACUCCAAAGCCAGAAGCAGUCUUUCCCAGUCUCCCUUGCAGCUGGGGAGCUGGCAUCAUCCAGGCCCUGCAACCAAAGGCACCAGGGAGGAUUUUCAUGUGGAAGAGACCAAUGCGAGGAGACACACGUCACCCAGAACCCAUUCAGGAGGGCGGUAGCAAGGAUGGUGCUGGAGGCAUCUGGCUUUAGGGACAACAGUGGCAGAGGUGCUGGAGUACUUGCCAAACUGAGGAGGAAAAGGCCUUACACGUGGGAGAUUGGCCAGUUCGUCGUUGUUUCCCCACAGACUUGAAAACUGGAAUUGAGCCAUGUAGGCAAAUGGAGUAGGCCUCAAGAAGAUCCUUGUGACAACCCUAGAAGACAUGAGCCAGGGAGAGAAAGGAGAGUCCAGGGUCCUUUCCAAACGCUGUGGGCAGGAGCGAAGAUCAAGAUACACGAAACUCAAUAUUCAAAUUCAGACUCAGAAAAAGUACGUUUGAAGGAUGUUGUUUGCCUUGCACAAUAAUCUUUCAUUAGAAACAGCAUUUCAUUCUCGGCAAUUUCCGGGGUUUGCUUAUAGAUCUGUCACUAGUUAAGAGAGAAGACACCCCAGAGUUCAUAGCUCUAGGAACAUCUGCCCCAGAGAAUGGCAGCUGUGGUCACCUACAAGUUGCAGAUCAGCCCUAGUGCCCUUAGUUCCUUCACCCUAGUUGAGAGCGUCUCAAACCUUUAGAAAUCACCUGGAGAGCUUGUGAAAAACACAGAUGGCUGGGCCCCACCCCGAGUUUCUGAUUCAAUAGGUUUGGAAUGGGGCCUGAUCAUUUGCAUUUCUAACAAGUUCCCAAGUGAUGCUCUUGCUGCUGGUCCAGGAAGCUCACGCUGGGAAUCACUGAUGGAGUUAGACACACCUGCCUGCGCCCUCUGCCCACACCCCAGAGGACUUGGCUAGAGAGCGCUGCUGGGGAGCACUCCAUCUUUAUGCCCUUUAUAUCCCGGACGAUAGGGCUCCACAGGACACUCUGCAUUGCCUGGUGCACACGCUGCACAUGCUGUGGGUGUUGCCUUUCCCACUGUCUGCUAUGACUUGUUCACCCCUUCUCUGUCCUCAAACCUCCAACACCUCCUCAUGUGCCCAGCCCAGCUGGUGAGGAAAACAGCUGCCAUCUUCUUCAUUGCUUCUCAAUUCAUUGAGGAAACAGAUGCCAUCAUCUUCCCAACACCAAAUCUUGAGAACCGCCUGCCUGGGGCCCACUCUCUCUGCCCAUCCUCUCAGAGAUGGAGGAGGUGUCCUGCUCCCACCCAAGGCCAUUCACACCACUUAUGUCCCUCCUCCUUAAGUUCUCCCUUGUCUUCUUUGUCUUCCCUCACUCCCUUUCUUAUGGGAAUAGUGGACCAUUCCCACAAGCAUACAAACAUCUUCUAGCAUCUCUUAUCUUUUUUUUUAAAGGGCUACCCCAGACCUCCUUACCCGCCUCCAGCUACCACCCCAUUGCUCACCUGCCAUUCACAGCAAACCUUCUUCAAAGUAUUGUAGCUAGUUCCCAUCACCACUUUCUCCCUUCCCAACCCACUGGAGUCUGCCUUCCUUCCUUAGCAUGCUGCUGAAACCCCAACAACUCCCUCAUUGCCAAAUCCAGGGGUCCUCACCUCAGUCUCUCAGAAACAUUCAAGACCACUGACCACCUCCUGCCGGGAAGGCUUUCUGCUCUUGGCUUCUCCUGGUUUUCCUCCUACCUCACUGGACGCACCCUCUCUGAAUGUUGGAGGGCCCUAGUCUUGGAACUGACUACCUCCCCUUUCCUACAUUCUCUCUAGCCCCUUGGCUCCAACACGGUGCCUGCUAAAUCCACAUCCACAAGCCCAUGACCACUCCCCUGCGCUUGGAUUUUUGUCCAACUCCCUUUGAGCAUCUCAAAUCUCAACAUGCCCAAAAUAAAACUCUUGAUUCCCUUGCCCAGUUUGAGUUUGUGUUAAAAUAUGCAUAACAUAAAAUUUACCAUUUUAACCAUUUUUAAGUGUACAAUUCAGUGGCAUUAAGUACAGUGUUGUGCAACCAUCGCCACUAUGCAUUUCCAGAAGUUUCUCAUCAUCGCAAACUGAAACUCUGUACCCAUUCAAUAAAAACACCCUCUUCCCCCAGCCCUCCCGCCCUCAGCCGCUGGUAACCACAAUUCUUCUUUCCGUCUCUCUGAAUUUAGCUAUUGUGGGGACCUCAUAUUAGUGGAAUCGUGCAGUGUUUGUCUUUUUGUGUCUGCCUGCCCAAAUUUUUCCUCCUUCAAGUUCCACCAUCCCCCAAUUGCCCAAGAAUACUCCCUCGCAAUUAAAAUGAGUUUCUGAGCUGUUCUUCCAUUUUAUUUUUUCAGAUAUUUGUUUUGUCAUUUAAAAGUUUUAAAUAUAGAAACUAAAAUAAAAUAGCCAAGAAAGACAUAACACCAUGCUUCUACCUCUCAGAUUUAAUCAUUGUUAACAUUUUAUCAGUUGCUUUGCAAUUUUUAAAUACGAGAAAUAAAACAUUACAAUUCAAAUUGUAAUCCCCUUUUAAUUCCCACCACCAGAGGCAACAAUAGGUAAAUUAAAUAUGCAUCAUCUAGCCAAUUUUUAUAGUGUACACCUAUACUAUAUUUCAUCUAAUCAAAGACACCAUCAUUUGUAAGAUGUGCUGUUAUUUAAAGCCCCACUUAAAAAGAAAAACACUGCCCGUUAAACUAUGACGCAAUACUUUGGAAUCUUAUAUUUUCUUUAAUACUUAUUAAAAUAACUCUUUUAGACUUAUUUAGAUAUAUAUUUUUUAUCAU
rnacentral:lncRNA from 1 species